AUGAUGGAUAGGCCAAGUUCUUCUACAAAUCCACCUCUCAUCGAGAACGGCGACGACAUGUCCUCAUUCGUCACAAAGAGCCACCUCUUUGGUGCUCAAAGGGCGUUACACCAAGAGCAACAAGCUAUGAGCGACCGCAUCGACAACCUCGCCACCAACUUGCGACUCUCCGAGCAACGUACAAGAGAAUAUUUCGACGACAAGUUCGACUCUCACAAGCAAGAAAAUGAUGCAAGAAUGGACGAGAUUCGUGCCUUGAUGAGGAACCGACAUCAUUCCGCUUCUUCCUCCUCAAGACGGAGCCGCUCGAGUCGACACUCUGAUGACACCUUCUCCGGCUCAAGUACACCGUCUUCGACCAUUCUUCGACGAGCCGCGCAUCAAGACCGUCAUGCACCUCGGAACCCACUACAAGACAAGCAUUCACAAGAGCAAGUCGAUGAGCAAGUCCCUCGUCCUCAAUCAAACCAAGUGGCUUUUGCUCAAGCUCAAGAACGGCAAUGA
rnacentral:rRNA from 1 species